rnacentral:rRNA from 1 species
AUGGCUCAGAUUGAACGCUGGCGGCGUGCUUAACACAUGCAAGUCGAACGCGAAAGGGACUUCGGUCCUGAGUAAAGUGGCGCACGGGUGAGUAACGCGUGGAUAAUCUGCCCUUAUGAUCGGGAUAACAGUUGGAAACGGCUGCUAAUACCGGAUACGCUCAAAAUGAACUUUUUGAGGAAAGAUGGCCUCUGCUUGCAUGCUAUCACGUAAGGAUGAGUCCGCGUCCCAUUAGCUUGUUGGCGGGGUAACGGCCCACCAAGGCAACGAUGGGUAGCCGAUUUGAGAGGAUGAUCGGCCACACUGGAACUGAAACACGGUCCAGACUCCUACGGGAGGCAGCAGUGGGGAAUAUUGCGCAAUGGGCGAAAGCCUGACGCAGCGACGCCGCGUGAGGGGAAUGAAGGUUUUCGGAUCGUAAACCUCUGUCAGAAGGGAAGAAACUACGUUGUGCUAAUCAGCAGCGUACUGACGGUACCUUCAAAGGAAGCACCGGCUAACUCCGUGCCAGCCGCGGC